UAUUUUUGAUAGUCAUUCAUUGAGUGUGCUGCUGUGCUGUGCUGUCAUUUCUGUCAGUCUGAAUCUGUUCUCUGUGAGGGGAAGUAGUGACUGUCGCGUUUGCAAAAUUGAAAAAAAAUGUAAAAUCUAAAAUAGAACGCCGUGUCAAGGAUAAAAGGGAGGAGCCGUUGUUGUAAAAACGGUGUUUCAGGUGAAAAUAUUGUGUGAACGUGAUUCCGGCUCGAAACGCAAUUUGGAGGGAAAACAGUACAAGACGAAGCAACUGGGAUAUUUUUUUCAAGUAAAAUGAAGAAGGAGGUCAAGAACAAUCUAGUUUUAAUGUAAAAUAAUAUAAACAAAAAAAACCCUUUCUGCUUACGUAAUUGAAUUUCAAUCUCAUUGUUUCACAGAUAAUUUCUUCUAGAUUUACGAAGAACACUAAAAAACGGAAACAAUUCCAAACAGUCGUCUCUUGCAUCGUAAAAUAAGUGCCGUAAAACAUAAUCUUACGAUGUACGAGAGUGAAUAGCAACGUGCUGCCAUCUAUGAUUGAAAAUUGGAACUGAACUAUCAGAAAACGGACAACAGAUGGCGCUGUAAUACGUUUUCGAAACUCGGAAGCUUCUAGAUUAAUGUGCAGUGACGUGCCCUUGUCAUUCUUCAGGCCCUGUGUAUUUACAACUACUGGACGGAGAACUGAUAAGGGCACGCCGUGUACUAAGUCGUCGUGGAAGACAUCAGCGCGCGGUGAUAUAAAAAAAAACAAUUUAAAAAAGUAUUAUUCCUAAUUUCCUACUAUGCUACUAGCCAGCGGCACUCAAAUGUUGCGACAUAUUCGCCUUUUCAUAUUAAAAGUGGACAAUUUCCAAAAAUAUUCGAAAUUGAGUAAAAAUGCCUUUGGUAUUAUCAGUAUUUUUCUCAUAAAUAAUGUCAACAGAGCGUAGUUUAGUUUUACUUUUUUUUUUAGUUUACCUAAAUUUUGACUACUAUUAACAAAAUUAAUACAUAAUUUUAUCUUACUUUAAAAGACAGAUAAUGUAACUGGUAAAAAACAAAAAAAAAUGUUGCAAAUAUGAUUAAUAUUAAAAAUAUUACAUGUUAUACCUUUAAAAGACUCUGCUGUAAAAUUAUUAAGUUUUGAAAUUAUACAGUAUCAAUGCGAGAAGACGAUAUCACACUUAAACGUGUGGCAAGAUUUACUAACAUCUAUCUAAGGUGCCCUGGGUCAAUUGCAUAUUUGAAACUCUAGGGUAGGUGAGGGUGAAUAUAAGGCUAUUCACUAAUAAAUGAUAACUAUACUACGGUUAAUACAUUAAUGAUGUAUAAAUUAAUAAAUGUACCUUGAAUAAUUUCACUCAUCAAAUAGAUUUAUUUACCUAUAAUUAUAUGUAUACGUUCUUUUUUUUAUGAUUGAGGGCUUACUGGUGGCCCGGAGGCCUUUCCAGAUUCACCAGGACAGGCGGGCGAGCAAAGGCUCAGCCAGGAGGGGUGGGAUUUGCUAACAGCUACCCGAGCGCCUCCGAAGGAGACCUAACAACUCAAGAGAAGCUGCUUCGCGAAUGAAUCUACUACCGGAUCGGAAUCGCAACCCGCUGAGAAGUUCCGGCGAGAAACUCAGUGGGCUGAUGCUUAGGUUAGGUUGCACGUCGAACUCUUUGCCGAGAUCGACGAGUACGGUUACCAUAAUUAUGUAUACGACUAUACGUGUAGCGCAUGUAGAAGUAUGUUAGAGCGUCACUGGAAAAAGGUUGAGAAGCGCUGUACAAAAAUAGUAGUACUGAGGCUAUUGAUUUUUUUUUAAUGCCCAAGUGGUUGGACGAGCUCACAGCCCACCUGAUGUUAUGUGGUUACCGGAGCCCAUAGACAUCAACAACUUAAAUGCCACCACCCUUUUUUUUCAGUUUUAUAGAACAAUGACUAUAUAUUACCAGCACAAGCAAAUUAUAAUUUUUGCGGAUUCUUAUUACAUUAUUACAAUUAUUUUCAUUAGUAUUGAUAUUGUUUAAUAACAAAUAAUCGGAAACACUUACAAUAAAAUGUUGUAAAUACUCUUAAAUAAAUAAUUAUAUAAUGUACUUUAGAUCACAUCAUAAUAUAGUUGUAUAAAUAUAAUAAAUACAUUUUAUUGACUAUUAUAUUAUAAUUUAGUUUAAGGUAAUUUUAUUGUCAGUUGUUUUUCUCAUUCCUAGUUUUCAAGGCUAACUUUUGUUUUGUUUAAAUUUUUAAUUGAUCUAUGUUUUAGAUUAUAAUAAAUACUUUUUUUCUUUUUAUAUUUUACUUUAUGUGUAGUGUAUCGUUAUUUGAUAUUAGUGUAGUUAUAAUUCUGUGAUGCUGUGUUUGUCGGUAAUUAAAGGAGGGACAUGCUCCAAGGACCUUUCAUUGCACCUUUAAAAAUAAUUGUAUUGUGGAUGUGUUUUGUUGAAAAAAAACUAAAAAUAAAAUCAUUGUAAAAGUGUAUGUUUUUAAUGCGAAAUAAAUUAUCCAAAAAAUC